rnacentral:lncRNA from 1 species
CAUUCUCCUAACCUGGGUGGAGGGAACAGGAAGAAAGGUGAGGUGCUGAGAGAGCUCACUGCCUCCUCUAAGGCUCUGUCCGCCAUUUCCAGGAAAGAGCCGUCGAGAAGGCCCAACCUUCUGAGACGAGGAGACGGAAGGCAAUGGUGUCUGCUCACUUGACAGAUCUCCACGGAGACACUCAGAUCCAAGAGAAACGAGAAGAUGUGUCUGAGCGGGCAAACCGUGCUCCUAUCUUCAGGAUCACUUCGCCUCCAAGACCCA